UAGACCGUAAACGAUACUCGCUAGGUGUCGGCCACGGUGCGACCGUUGUCGGUGCCGUAGGGAAGCCGUGAAGCGAGCCACCUGGGAAGUACGGCCGCAAGGCUGAAACUUAAAGGAAUUGGGCGGGGGAGCACCACAACGGGUGGAGCUUGCGGUUUAAUUGGAUUCAACGCCGGAAAUCUUACCGGGACCGACAGCAACAUGAAGGCCAGGCUGAAGACUUUGCCGGAUUAGCUGAGAGGAGGUGCAUGGCGUAGUCGUGU
rnacentral:rRNA from 1 species